UCCAAAUGAGCUCGAUAAAAACAAACUAUAGCAGCUAUAGGCUUAUCAAACUUGACUGUGUGAAAGUAGAAGAGGAGAUCUUGAAAAUAGGAAAAUGGACAAAGCUAGACCUAGAAAAUGUCAAAUUAAACCGAGAAAUCAUUAAAUUACUAGAGAAGUUAAAGCCUCUGGCUAUUCCUUCCAGUGAUGCGCGGGACAAUGUAUUAAUAACCUGCACCUUACCGAUGUUUUCAACUAACCUGCCCGCAACUCGGACCACAAAAAAAACAAAAGAAAAUAUUGUAUCCGACCUGCUUCCUGACCUGCAUUUUUUUAAAGUAGUAAAUGCCCAUCGUAGCGUCAUUGGGCCAUAUACGUAGGAACUAGGCAAGAAAAAAAAAAUCACCUUAAUAUAUUCUAAUUUUGUCAAGAAUUUAAAAAAAUCAUCAAUAAGCACAUUGCUGAAUAUAUCCCGCUCUGCUCACUCACUCCGUGGGGUCAGUCGCUCAACCCAGAAUGGCCUGCUGGUUCCAAAAUAUGCAAGGAGAAAUUUAAUUGUUUAGAAAUAAACUGGUGUUGGCACCCCAUAAAAAAAAAAUAAUCACCAAAACUAUGCCAUUCGUUUGUGCUACGUUUGUGCUGAUUUGUGCCGCAGAAAUGAACGUUUGUGCUGGUUUGGUGUUUGAGAUAUUAAACAUUCUUUUUUUGACUGUAUGACGUCACUCUCCACCCCAUGUUGCCCAAAUCGUUCCAAACCAGCGCAGUUCAUUUGUGCUCGAUUUUUGCCACUAAAACAAACACUGUAUCUAUUUUCCUUCCAUAGAUAUAUCCAAAAUAUUUUCGAAGUCUCCUUCCCAGUUCGUCUAAAUCGCCCAAAACUGGUGUCAUUAGUUUGUGCUUGAUUUGUGCCGGUUUGUGUUGUUGAAAUGUACGUCAAAUAUAUUUCUUCUUCUUAGAAAUAACAAAAACAAUUCUGGGCAGUGACGUCACUCUCCACCCCAUGGCUUCCAAAUCUCUCCAAACCGGUGUCAUUCGUUUGUGCCGGAUUUGUGCUGGUUUGUGCUGUUAAAAGAAACUCUGUAACUAUGACCGCUUAUUUUAUAUAACAAAAUUAAACUUUUUACGAACAGUGACGUCACUCUCCACCCCAUGGCUUCCAAAUCUCUCCAAACCGGUGUCAUUCGUUUGUGCCGGAUUUGUGCUGGUUUGUGCUGUUAAGAGAAACUCUGUAACUAUGACCGCUUAUUUUAUAUAACAAAAAUAAACUUUUUACGAACAGUGACGUCACUCUCCACCCCAUGGCAGCCAAAUCUCUCCAAACUGGUAUCAUUCGUUUGUGCUAGAUUUGUGCUGGGUUGUGCCAUUCAAAUUAACAUUGUAUCUAUUUCUCGUCCUCAAACAUAACAAACACAAAACGGGCCAGUGACGUCACUCUCCACCCCAUACUGUCCAAAUCCCUCCAAACCAGUGCCAUUCGUUUGUGCUGGUUUGUGCCCAUUUGUGUUGUUAAAAUUAACAUUCUAUCUAUAUCCCCUCCUUAAGAAAUAACAAAUAUAACUCGGGGCAGUGACGUCACUCUCCACCCCAUGCCAUCCAAAUCGCCCCAAACCUGUGCAGUUUGUUUGUGCUCGAUUUGUGCUGUUUUGUGCCGUAGAAAGAACCAUCAAAAAUUAUUCCAUUCUUUAGUUUAAACAUCACAAAAUCUUUGGAGGAGUAGUGACGUCACGCAAGCAGGCCGCGAUCUCCAUCCAUCUUGAAUACAAACCUGUCGGGUUCGUUUGUGCUUGCACAGGGCCACAGCUGUCAUUGUUCUUUUCUUUGUUAGAUAUGGAAAUGUUUUAUUUUCAGUUACUUUAUCAAUCUCCAGAUAAAAAAAAGGUAGGUUAUGUGAUUGAUUGAUGCUAAGGCUAUUGCUUGUUUAUUAAAAAAUUUAUGUGGUGUCUCCCAGCUUUUUGAAAACUUUGUAGCAUGUCGGAACAUUGCGACGCACACUCUUUGUUUGUUUGUUUUUCCUUUUGUUAUGUUUUUUUUAUUCAAAUCGAGCUUAAUUUAUCAGAUGGAAGUUUAGGGUACUGUAGUUUGUUUUAAAUGGCUAUAUUGCAUUAUCUAGGCCUUUGUUACAGAUGCACAAAGCAAACUGUGCAUUUUAUCUUUCUCUGAAGGAGAAAGAGAACCAAGGAGCAGUGUUUAUGUUUGUUUAAUACGUCUUUAAAGCAACUAAUCGAUGACUGUUACUUGUUAGUUUGCUGUAUAGCUUGUUUAACUAGCAGGUCUUCCCUCACUUUUGACCAGUUUAGGAUUCUGUCAUUUCGUACUUGCCGAAAAAAAGAAAGUCAUAUAGUUUUUUUUUGUUGUUGGGUGAAGUAUGAAAGCAAACCACCUGGUUAAAGUUUUUUUAUUUAGCUCCCAAACUUGUUUCCUUUUAAAUGCAAAGAUUAAUGUAAAAAUAACAGCGAUUUCUGUGAAAGAAUUUACAAAUGUUUUUUUAAAUAACCAUAAAAUAAGAGAACUACAAAAAUAUGUUGACUUCAUGUAAGAGUAGUCCUAAAAUUAAUAGAUCUGGGUACAAAUAACAGAACAAUUACUAAAGAAAAAUAGAACUUCGGGUUAAAAAAAAGAAUGCUGUUAAAACAGUCAUAAAGUGAAUAGAGAUCAUGGUGAUUAACAACAAUAGAAAAAUCAAUAUAGUCCAAUCUCUUAUUGAUUAUGAACUAAUUUCUGCAGAAACCAGUCCAAAAUAAUCAUUAAUCAAAGGUUUUAGUCCUCCUUUGUGAACAACGUGACAUGGGGUUGUAUUUUGGUUUUUGCUGAGACUGUUGUGACAUAUUCACACAGAUCAUCAUAUUUCUCCCAGGCAAAAGAGUUUCUUCUGCAGUAAGCCACGUAAUGUCCAAGAGAUUCUCUUGUUGGUCCUGGAAUGAAUGCGACAACCCCUCGCAAAGUGAACAGCUGAUUGUCCAGCUCAAUGUCGACAAGGAUUUCAGGCAGUGGAUGCUAUCUGGACACUCUUGGGGUGAUUUCAGUGGCUUCAGACACUUGGACCUGCAUUUUUGCCCUCCUUGCAAUGCAGAACAAAGGCACUGGCAAAAGGAAUCAAAGGCACAGGCAGGCACGUGCACAGGGAAAGUGUAGUGAAUAAGAGACCUUCAAGAGACCAACAUACCUGGUCCACCACAGUAUCAAAUUUAUGCCAGG